CUUUAUCGGAGAGUUUGAUCCUGGCUCAGGACGAACGCUGGCGGCGUGCCUAAUACAUGCAAGUCGAGCGGACAGA
rnacentral:rRNA from 1 species